rnacentral:rRNA from 1 species
CGCGGUAUAAGUCCAUUGGAACAUGGCGUCGUAGAGGGUGAGAAUCCCGUAUGUGACCGCGGCUCGAGCCCCAUGUGAAGCCUCUUCGACGAGUCGAGUUGUUUGGGAAUGCAGCUCAAAAUGGGUGGUAUAUUUCAUCUAAAGCUAAAUACUGGCUGGAGACCGAUAGCGCACAAGUAGAGUGAUCGAAAGAUGAAAAGCACUUUGGAAAGAGAGUCAAACAGUACGUGAAAUUGUUGAAAGGGAAGCGCGUGCAACCAGACCUGCCCGGGGGUGAUCAGCCGCUGUUCUCCAGCGGUGCACUCGCCCCGCGAUCAGGCCAGCAUCGGUUCCGGCGGUCGGACAAAGGCC